UACGGAGGGUGCAAGCGUUAUCCGGAUUUACUGGGUUUAAAGGGUGUGUAGGCGGACUUUUAAGUCAGAGGUGAAAUCUCCGGGCUCAACCCGGAAACUGCCCCUGAUACUAUUAGUCCUGAAUAUUGAUGAGGUGGGCGGAACGGGUCAUGUAGCGGUGAAAUGCUUAGAGAUGACCCGGAACACCAAUUGCGAAGGCAGCUCACUGGGCAAUUAUUGA
rnacentral:rRNA from 1 species